AGGGGACUAUAUUAAACAUACUAGGAAACNACUAGNCUAUGUCUACACCAUGUUUUUUACGCACCUAAAGUUUCCUCGGCGGCUUUGUCCGCCAGUUGGACAACAAUUAAACCCUGGUAGUUAGCAGUCAGCGUCAAAUAAACUUAAUAAUUAAAACUUUCAACAACGGAUCUCUUGGUUCUGGCAUCGAUGAAGAACGCAGCGAAAUGCGAUACGUAGUGUGAAUUGCAGAAUUCAGUGAAUCAUCGAAUCUUUGAACGCACAUUGCACCUCUCGGUAUUCCGGGAGGUAUGCCUGUUCGAGCGUCAUUUGUACCCUCAAGCUCUGCUUGGUGUUGGGUGUUUGUUCCGCCUCUGUGUGUGAACUCGCCUUAAAACAAUUGGCAGCCGGCGUACUUGUUUCGGAGCGCAGCACAUUUAUGCGCUAUUAGACCAAUGUACAGCGGCAUCCAAGAAGCCUUCUUUAACGCUCUUGACCUCGGAUCAGGUAGGGAUACCCGCUGAACUUAAGCAUAUCAAUAAGCGG
rnacentral:rRNA from 1 species